GACGAACGCUGGCGGCGUGCUUAACACAUGCCAGUCGAACGGAAAGGCCCUGCUUGCCGGGUACUCGAGUGUCGAACGCGUGAGUAACACGUGUGUGAUCUGCCCUCCACUUCGUGAUAAGCCUGGAGAACUGUGUCUAAUACCGGAUAGAAGCCCUCCUUCGUGUGAUGGUUGGAAAGUUUUUUGGGUGUAGGGUGAGCUCGCGGCCUAUCAGCUUGUUGGUGGGGUAAUGGGCUACCAAGGCGGCGACGGGUAGCCGGCCUGGGAGGGUGGACGGCCACAAUGGGGAUGGGAUACGGCCCAGAAUCCUACCGGGGGCAGGAGGGGGGAAUAAUGCACAAUGGGGGGAAGCCUGAUGCAGCGACGGCGGGGGGGGGAUGACGGGCUUCGGGGUGUAAACUCCGUUCGCUAGGGACGAAGCUUUUUGUGACGGUACUUAGAUAAGAAGCACCGGCUAACUACGUG
rnacentral:rRNA from 1 species